GGCAAGCUGUAGACUUGUUUACGGGGCACCAGCCCCCCCCACCA
rnacentral:tRNA from 1 species